GUCUGGCUCGCUCAAUGGCCGAGCACCCGGUUGAAGCCCGGACCAUCGUGGUUCGAUUCCACGGCCAGACACCA
rnacentral:tRNA from 1 species